UGGGGAAUAUUGCACAAUGGGCGCAAGCCUGAUGCAGCCAUGCCGCGUGUGUGAAGAAGGCCUUCGGGUUGUAAAGCACUUUCAGCGGGGAGGAAGGCGAUAAGGUUAAUAACCUUGUCGAUUGACGUUACCCGCAGAAGAAGCACCGGCUAACUCCGUGCCAGCAGCCGCGGUAAUACGGAGGGUGCAAGCGUUAAUCAGAAUUACUGGGCGUAAAGCGCACGCAGGCGGUCUGUCAAGUCGGAUGUGAAAUCCCCGGGCUUAACCUGGGAACUGCAUUCGAAACUGGCAGGCUAGAGUCUUGUAGAGGGGGGUAGAAUUCCAGGUGUAGCGGUGAAAUGCGUAGAGAUCAGGAGGAAUACCGGUGGCAAAGGCGGCCCCCUGGACAAAGACUGACGCUCAAGUGCGAAAGCGUGGGGAGCAAACAGG
rnacentral:rRNA from 1 species